rnacentral:rRNA from 1 species
CUACCGGACCUAGCGGCGGACGGGUGAGUAAUGCUUAGGAAUCUGCCUAUUAGUGGGGGACAACAUUUCGAAAGGGAUGCUAAUACCGCAUACGUCCUACGGGAGAAAGCAGGGGAUCUUCGGACCUUGCGCUAAUAGAUGAGCCUAAGUCGGAUUAGCUAGUUGGUGGGGUAAAGGCCUACCAAGGCGACGAUCUGUAGCGGGUCUGAGAGGAUGAUCCGCCACACUGGGACUGAGACACGGCCCAGACUCCUACGGGAGGCAGCAGUGGGGAAUAUUGGACAAUGGGGGGAACCCUGAUCCAGCCAUGCCGCGUGUGUGAAGAAGGCCUUAUGGUUGUAAAGCACUUUAAGCGAGGAGGAGGCUACUUUAGUUAAUACCUAGAGAUAGUGGACGUUACUCGCAGAAUAAGCACCGGCUAACUCUGUGCCAGCAGCCGCGGUAAUACAGAGGGUGCGAGCGUUAAUCGGAUUUACUGGGCGUAAAGCGUGCGUAGGCGGCUUAUUAAGUCGGAUGUGAAAUCCCCGAGCUUAACUUGGGAAUUGCAUUCGAUACUGGUGAGCUAGAGUAUGGGAGAGGAUGGUAGAAUUCCAGGUGUAGCGGUGAAAUGCGUAGAGAUCUGGAGGAAUACCGAUGGCGAAGGCAGCCAUCUGGCCUAAUACUGACGCUGAGGUACGAAAGCAUGGGGAGCAAACAGGAUUAGAUACCCUGGUAGUCCAUGCCGUAAACGAUGUCUACUAGCCGUUGGGGCCUUUGAGGCUUUAGUGGCGCAGCUAACGCGAUAAGUAGACCGCCUGGGGAGUACGGUCGCAAGACUAAAACUCAAAUGAAUUGACGGGGGCCCGCACAAGCGGUGGAGCA